GACCCAAUGGUCUAGAGGUAUGAUACACCCUUAGGGAUGAAUUCAUACUUUGGGUGUGGCCCCGCGUUCGAAUCGCGGUUGGGUCC